rnacentral:rRNA from 1 species
UGGGGAACCUGCCCCAUAGUCUGGGAUACCACUUGGAAACAGGUGCUAAUACCGGAUAAGAAAGCGGAUCGCAUGAUCAGCUUUUAAAAGGCGGCGUAAGCUGUCGCUAUGGGAUGGCCCCGCGGUGCAUUAGCUAGUUGGUAAGGUAAAGGCUUACCAAGGCGAUGAUGCAUAGCCGAGUUGAGAGACUGAUCGGCCACAUUGGGACUGAGACACGGCCCAAACUCCUACGGGAGGCAGCAGC